rnacentral:rRNA from 1 species
GUGUCAGCCGCCGCGGUAAUACGGAGGGGGCUAGCGUUGUUCGGAAUUACUGGGCGUAAAGCGCACGUAGGCGGCUUUGUAAGUUAGAGGUGAAAGCCCGGAGCUCAACUCCGGAACUGCCUUUAAGACUGCAUCGCUUGAACGUCGGAGAGGUAAGUGGAAUUCCGAGUGUAGAGGUGAAAUUCGUAGAUAUUCGGAAGAACACCAGUGGCGAAGGCGACUUACUGGACGACUGUUGACGCUGAGGUGCGAAAGCGUGGGGAGCAAACAGGAUUAGAAACCCUCGUAGUCC